rnacentral:rRNA from 1 species
GAACGCUGGCGGCAGGCUUAACACAUGCAAGUCGCGCGAUUAAAGCCCCUUCGGGGGUGUAUAAAGCGGCGAACGGGUGAGUAACAGGUGGAUAAUCUACCUCCUGGGGGGGGAUAACGGCUGGAAACGGCCGCUAAUACCGCGUACGAUUACUGUACCUCGGUACGGGAAGGAAAGGCGCCUUCAAGCGCCACCGGGAGAUGAGUCCGCCCCCCAUUAGCUAGUUGGCGGGAUAAUAGCCCACCAAGGCAACGAUGGGUAGCCGAGCUGAGAGGUUGAUCGGCCACACUGGAACUGAGACACGGUCCAGACACCUACGGGUGGCAGCAGUGGGGAAUAUUGCACAAUGGGCGAAAGCCUGAUGCAGCCAUGCCGCGUGGAGGAUGAAGGCCUUCGGGUCGUAAACUCCUUUUCUGAGGGAAGAAAUGUUCAGGGAGGAAAUGUCCUGAAUUUGACGGUACCUCAGGAAUAAGCAACGGCUAACUCCGUGCCAGCAGCCGCGGUAAUACGGAGGUUGCGAGCGUUGUUCGGAAUUACUGGGCGUAAAGGGAGCGCAGGCGGCUUGGCCAGUCCGAAGUGGAAUCCCGGGGCUCAACCCCGGAAGUGCUUUAGAUACUACCAAGCUUGAGUACGCGAGAGGAGAGUGGAAUUCCAGGUGUAGCGGUGAAAUGCGUAGAUAUCUGGAGGAACAUCGGUGGCGAAAGCGGCUCUCUGGCGCGCUACUGACGCUGAGGCUCGAAAGCGUGGGGAGCGAACGGGAUUAGAUACCCCGGUAGUCCACGCUGCAAACG